rnacentral:rRNA from 1 species
GACGAACCGUGCGAACGUUGUUCGGAUUCACUGGGCGUAAAGCGCACGUAGGCGGAUUGUUAAGUCAGGGGUGAAAUCCUGGAGCUCAACUCCAGAACUGCCUUUGAUACUGGCGAUCUCGAGUCCGGGAGAGGUGAGUGGAACUGCGAGUGUAGAGGUGAAAUUCGUAGAUAUUCGCAAGAACACCAGUGGCGAAGGCGGCUCACUGGCCCGGUACUGACGCUGAGGUGCGAAAGCGUGGGGAGCGAUCCGG